AGAGUUUGAUCCUGGCUCAGGAUGAACGCUGGCGGCAUGCCUAACACAUGCAAGUCGAUCGGUAAGGCUCUUCGGAGUACACGAGAGGCGGACGGCUGAGUAACGCGUAGGAACACACCCUGCAGUGAGGGAUAAGACACCGAAAGGUGUUCUAAUACCGCAUACGGUCUUCGGAUUAAAGCAUUUAUGCGCUGAAGGAGUGGCCUGCGUCAUAUUAGAUAGUUGGUGAGGUAAUGGCUUACCAAGUCGAUGAUGUGUAGCUGGUCUGAGAGGAUGAUCAGCCAGACUGGAACUGAGACACGGUCCAGACUCCUACGGGAGGCAGCAGUGAGGAAUAUUUCACAAUGAGCGAAAGCUUGAUGGAGCAAUGCCGCGUGCAGGAUGAAGGCCCUCGGGUUGUAAACUGCUUUUAUAAGAGAAGAUUAUGACGGUAACUUAUGAAUAAGGGACGGCUAACUACGUGCCAGCAGCCGCGGUCAUACGUAGGUCCCGAGCGUUAUCCGGAGUGACUGGGCGUAAAGAGUUGCGUAGGCGGUCAAGUUAGCGAGCGAUGAAAACUAUCGGCUCAACCGAUAGCUUGUUGUUCGAACUGCUUGACUCGAGAGUAUCAGAGGUCGCUGGAAUUCCUAGUGUAGCAGUGAAAUGCGUAGAUAUUAGGAAGAACACCAAUGGCGUAGGCAGGCGACUGGGAUAUUUCUGACGCUAAGGCACGAAAGCGUGGGUAGCGAACCGGAUUAGAUACCCGGGUAGUCCACGCCGUAAACGAUGGAUGCUAAUUGUUUGAGGUAUCGACCCCUCGAGUAAUAAAGCUAACGCGUUAAGCAUCCCGCCUGUGGAGUACGGCCGCAAGGCUAAAACAUAAAGGAAUUGACGGGGAC
rnacentral:rRNA from 1 species